rnacentral:rRNA from 1 species
UACAGAGGUCUCAAGCGUUGUUCGGAUUCAUUGGGCGUAAAGGGUGCGUAGGUGGCGCUGUAAGUCAGGUGUGAAAUUUCGGAGCUUAACUCCGAAACUGCAUUUGAUACUGCGGUGCUUUGAGGACUGGAGAGGAGACUGGAAUUUACGGUGUAGCAGUGAAAUGCGUAGAGAUCGUAAGGAAGACCAGUGGCGAAGGCGGGGUCUCUGGACAGUUCCUGACACUGAGGCACGAAGGCCAGGGGAGCAAACGGG